GACGAACGCUGGCGGCGUGCUUAACACAUGCAAGUCGAACGAGAAUCUGGUGAAGGAGGAUUCGUCCAACGGAAGCAGAGGAAAGUGGCGGACGGGUGAGUAAAGCGUGAGGAACCUGCCGUGAAGAGGUGGACAACAGUUGAAAACGACUGCUUAUACCGCAUGACGCUUAGAGUUCGCAUGUUCUUUAUGCCAGAGAUUUAUCGCUUCAAGAUGUCCUCGCGUCUGAUUAGCUGGUUGGCGGGUUAACGGCCCACCAAGGCGCCGAUCAGUAGACGGACUGAGAGGUUGAACGGCCACAUUGGGACUGAGAUACGGCCCAGACUCCUACGGGAGGCAGCAGUGGGGAAUAUUGGGCAAUGGGCGCAAGCCUGACCCAGCAACGCCGCGUGAAGGAAGAAGGCUUUCGGGUUGUAAACUUCUUUUAAGAGGGAAGAGCAGAAGACGGUACCUCUAGAAUAAGCCACGGCUAACUACGUGCCAGCAGCCGCCGUAA
rnacentral:rRNA from 1 species